rnacentral:rRNA from 1 species
AUAUCAAUAAGCGGAGGAUAUGAAACCAACAGGGAUUGCCUUAGUAACGGCGAGUGAAGCGGCAACAGCUCAAAUUUGAAAUCUGGCCCUUGGGUCCGAAUUGUAAUUUGUAGAGGAUGAUUUUGGUGCGGUAUCUUCCGAGUUCCUUGGAACAGGACGCCUUAGAGGGUGAGAGCCCCGUACGGUUGAAUGCCUAGCCUCUGUAAAUCUCCUUCGACGAGUCGAGUAGUUUGGGAAUGCUGCUCUAAAUGGGAGGUAAAUUUCUUCUAAAGCUAAAUAUUGGCCAGAGACCGAUAGCGCACAAGUAGAGUGAUCGAAAGAUGAAAAGCACUUUGAAAAGAGGGUUAAAUAGCACGUGAAAUUGUUGAAAGGGAAGGAUUUGUGACCAGACUUUUUCUGGGCGGAUCAUCCGGGGUUCUCUCCGGUGCACUUCGCCCAGUAAAGGCCAGCAUCGGUUUUCGGCGUGGGAUAAAAGCAGUAGGAAUGUGGCUCUCUACGGGGAGUGUUAUAGCCUAUUGUAUAAUACCGCGCUGGGGACCGAGGUUCGCGCUUCUGCAAGGAUGCUGGCGUAAUGGUUAUCAAUCACCCGUCUUGAAACACGGACCAAGGAGUCGAACAUUUGUGCGAGUGUUUGGGUGUUAAACCCUCACGCGUAAUGAAAGUGAACGGAGGUGAGAGCCCUUACGGGUGCAUCAUCGACCGAUCCUGAAGUUUUCGGAUGGAUUUGAGUAAGAGCAUAACUGUUCGGACCCGAAAGAUGGUGAACUAUGCGUGGAUAGGGUGAAGCCAGAGGAAACUCUGGUGGAGGCUCGCAGCGGUUCUGACGUGCAAAUCGAUCGUCAAAUCUGCGCAUGGGGGCGAAAGACUAAUCGA